rnacentral:lncRNA from 1 species
CUAUUUUUUUCUGCCGACCCUAUUAUUUUUUCAACGCGAUUGACCGUGCGACCCUAUUUUCUCCAGGUGGUUGCGGGCUGCUCAUACAGCGUGCCAAAAUGGCGUCUGUUGUCACAAUAAUUAUUGAACCAAAUUGCCUCAAUUCGUCCAUAGGAAAUACGCACCUCUAGUUAAUAUUGAUGUCGGGACUCUACUGCAAAUCGCCCAGCAAAAAAUUGGCAAAACCAUGAAAAAAAUAUUAAAAAAAAAAUUUAUUUCCGACCUACCGACCCUAAUUUUUUCACGAUAUGAAACCGGAACCACAG